rnacentral:rRNA from 1 species
CCUACGGGAGGCAGCAGUGGGGAAUAUUGGGCAAUGGGCGCAAGCCUGACCCAGCAACGCCGCGUGAAGGAAGAAGGCUUUCUGGGUGUAAACUUCUUUUUACCGGGAAGAGUAGAAGCCGGUACCUGUCGAAUGAGCCACAGCUAACUACGUACCAGCAGCCACGGUAAUACGUAGGUGGCAAGCGUUGUCCGGAUUGACUGGGUUUAAAGGGCGUAUAGCCGGGUUGGCAAGUCAGAUGUGAAAUCCUUCGGCUUAACCGCAGAACUGCAUUUGAAACUGUUGAUCUUGAGUACUGGAGAGGCAGACGGAAUUCGUAGUGUAGCGGUGAAAUGCGUAGAUAUUAGGAGGAACACCAGUGGCGAAGGCAGUCUGCUGGACAGCAACUGACGGUGAGGCGCGAAGGCGUGGGGAGCAAACAGGAUUAGAUACCCCUGUAGUC